CGUGAUUCUGAGGCUUCCCCAGCCACGUGGAACUCAUGAAAACGGAAGAAUACAAGUGGAAAGGAGAAUGGAAUUGCAGCAAAAGGGAGUAACCAUGCUGAGUUGGGACCUAUUAAAUCAAUAGGUUCCACUUCCCACAACACCUCUGCCACCAACCAAUUGAGGGUCUUCAGGAGAAGUGUUCUUAUCUGUGCAAUAGAGCCUGCCAGAAGGGGCACCUGGCAACCCUCUUCAGAGGCUUGAUCCUGUGCUGCAGAAACCUAUGGACCUGCUCAACCUGUGCACUGGAAUUCCAGGGAUAGACUGAGCUGUCCCUAGGAGGCUGGGAGCAUUCUCCAGCAGAGACCAGCAACUGCCUCCUGCCUGGAGAAUCUGGAAGGAGGAAGGGCGGCUGGAAUCACCUGUGAUGGCAAGUGAGGGAGAGAGGGCAGACAAAGGUAGCAAAACUGCACUCCUAGGACUUGGAAUGGCAAGGACUCCAGUGUGUCAGAGAAGACAGGAAGACCAAGAAACAGCCAAGGAGAGGGGCUGAGGAAUGAGAGAUGGAGGAGACAACAGAUUGUCCUUCCCAUUGCCAAACCUUAGGCCGGGCCUGAGGGGAUCAGACUGGGCAAUUGAAUCCUCAAAGGUUCCUGGAAGGACUACUUAGGAAUUGAAUGUGCUGAGACUUCCUCUCAAAGGAGCCCCUCCUUCUUAAAUGAAUCCAGGAGAGAAGUUCUGAAGACUGUGGUCUAUGCUAAAGGAAUGCAGAUAUUUAUAAAUGGUCAUCUGCAUUGAAUGAACCAAGUCCAAAUGACAAUCAAGGAGAACUGUAAACAUAGGAAAAGAGGGCUGAACCCAUGCUUCCAGGGAAGGAAGAAGAGAGAGAGAAAGAGAAGAGAAGAGAGAGAGAGAGAGACUGACUUCUGGAAUCAAUCAAGGGAAGUCUGGAAAUGGUGGAUGAAUGGAACAGAAAUCCCCAAGCCAAGUGUGAACAGGACUCAGACUUGUGUACACAUGGAGAAUAGCGUCUGGCGCCAAGAACGCAGAGCGGCUGAGAACUGGUGUUUCUCCUCUUAGGAAAGAAAAUGACAGGGAAAGGAAGAAAAAUAGGAAAGAAGAAAGGAAGAGAGAGAAGAAGGAAAA
rnacentral:lncRNA from 1 species